AGGAGGCUGGAGAAGAGCAGGGAGAAAAGGGAGUCGUGGAUGGAGGUUCUGUACUUCUACUUGUCCUACAUGGCCGAGCGAGAUCGAGGCUAGCCGCCGGUAAUGUUCUUCUCCCGUGCAAGUUCCGCACUGCAUUGAAGCAUCCAACACAUGAUGUAGCUACGUUACAGGUGGGACAUCAGCCAAGUAUGUUUCGAGGUGAGACAUCCAUCAAGUUUGUUUGGAGAAAUUGUGCAGUCCAGCUCCUGCGUGCUGGUCACCGAGCUCCACUGUGUCCAGCUCAUCCGACCAUGUGCUCCACUGCAUCUAGGUCAGCCGAUCUUGUGGCAGAGCUAC